rnacentral:tRNA from 1 species
AUUUAAAUAAUUUAAAAAAAAUAUUGAUUUGUGGGGUCAAAAAUAUGAAUAAAAGUUCAUUUUAAAUU